UAGCAUAACUGACAAAAAUUCCAUGAAAAAAAAACGAUUGCAGCAGAAAGAUUGUCUGUUGUUUUGUUAACCGGUAUUUGGAUUUAAACGGUGUUCAUUUCAAUGAAAAAAUACGCGGAGGUGGUGAAUUUAUCUGUUAAAAACGUUUACUUACAACAGCAAGUGGGUAUUUCCUUCCUUGACGAACAUUAUCGACCAUAGGUUUAUUUACUUGUACAAAUGUGGCUUCGCUUCCAAAAACUACAGCUGUCGUGAGCUUUCAUGGCUUGAGAUAAUAAAUAAAAAAAUUCACUCAUGGCGGUGUUGCUCUGCAGAAAAUACAUCAUGAAAAUAUAAUAAUAAUAUUUCAUGUUAUCACGGUAUUUACAAUACAAGAAAAUACCAACCGGAGGUCACAAGAAGUUGGAAAAGGAUAAAAUACAGAUAGCAUUUGGAUUUUUGUGGAAGGGAGACAAUCUUGUCAUGAAUGAGACUGGACACCAAGCCUAAUAUAGAUGGGAAAAGGCUAGGCAGAUGAUAAUGGGUGGUAUAACUGGCAUCUUUAACGUCUCUAGGGAAGCUGCAACCUUCAUGUCAAAAUCAUC